GUAGCUUGUUGUGAACUUGGGUAACCCAGCUGAGCCCUGGGCUUGCCAAAGCUGGAGGAGGUAAUCAGCUUGACCUAUGUGACCUUCCUGAGGCUGUUGGAUGUCCUGCAUCGAGAAGCUUGUUUGCAUAUGACUCUUACAUGCUGCUUAGCUGAGUCUGAAUCCCUUUUAUAACAACUGAACCUGAGUCAGCUAUGAGAGGUAACAUAAUAUAAAUUAGUCAGUUAUAUGUUGCACAAUAUAGUAGGUACUUUUUUUUUCAUUUAAUGGGAACAUAUCCGGGAAAUCCCAAAAAGAUUUCCAGGAACAGCUAUGACAUCUGCCCUUCUAGCUUUAUUAAAAUAAAUUGAAGGUUAUAUAACAAUCUGUCAGCACUUCACAUAUCUUAGUGGAGUUCUGUUUCAUUAAGAGGUCUGUUUUCUAAAUUUCACAGAUUGAUUAACCUUUAUUUUUUCAUUUGAUUAUGAUAAUUUCCAAAGUAUGAGGUAGGCACAAGGGUGUCAUAUUAUCAUUGUUUACUCUAUGGAUUAAGAAUAUAUUUCAGUGAUUUCUAGAACUACUUCUCAUUCUAACCCACUUGCCUGAAAGCAGCUUUAAAUAUGACUCAAAAUCCUCUGGGGCCCUAGAAGGAAAAAGGCAGAAGGUGGUUAAAUGGCUUGCCCAGAGAUGCCUGGCUAGUAAACAUCUGAAAUGAGUUUGGAGCCUGAGAAUACUGAAAAGUCCUGGAAAGUAUGAAAGUGCUAGCAAAAAGCACUAAUCAUCUAUUAAUAUGGUUGCAGAAGGAUCAGACCUAUAUAAGGAAAGUGUUGGUAUCACCUAGGGAAACACCCCACCACCAUCCGAGAAAAUGGAUCUUACUUGGAAUGUAUUUAGAUUCUGCUCAAUGGAUAAAAUAGAAGCCUAAUUAGAAACCUUGCAAAAUUUUUGCAUUCCAAAAACUUAAAUGUUAGUUUCCCAGUUGAUUUUACUACUAGUAAUAGAUUAUUGAAUUCUAUUCUAAUCAUUUUGUAAUUCUUUAUUGUUUUUUUCUGUGGAAAAAUAAAAUACUUGUUCUAUACCUGUCAUGUUUGUACAUUGGAAACUUUUUAACUUUCCUAUUUGGUAAAGAUUUCCAAACAGUAACUUCGACUUCAAAACAGUAACCAUUUCCAUAUUUGGUAUCUUUAUAAGAACAACUUUCAUUGGAUUUAGGGAAAGGGCAGAGUGAAGAGUCAAUAAAUACAGAACUUGGAGAGCCUAUAUCUUCUAUUGAGAAUUUGAAUAGCCCUGACAUCAACUAAGCCAGGGAAAAUCUUAAUGUCAGAUAACAGAUAGAGAUUGGUGAAGGUCAUCAGUCCCUGUGUUCUCAGCUUAAUUAGGCACAAUGGCAUCUUCUAUGUUACUUUAAAUGGGAUUUCUUUUUUGUACAUUUUCUACUAUAUUUUCUUAGUAGUACACAGAAAGGCUGUUGAGUAUAGUAGUUUUAUUUUCUAUCUUUUAAGGAAGUAUGGCUUGAUAGAUAAUGAUUCUUGAAAUGUGUUCUUCCCCUUCAGCUUUAAUUUUAGUAUGCCAAUCAGUUUCUUAUAUAUUUAGACUUUGAUGUGUUUAUGCUCAAUGUGGCAUGGAAGAGAGAAAUCUUUGAGAUCAAGGUAUUUAU